rnacentral:rRNA from 1 species
AUUGCCCAUAGGGUUCCCGAGCCCUAUGAGUACCUUGCGCAUUCCUUUGACAUGCCAAGGUAGGCCCUUGAGGUUGUCCCUCUAGGCAGCACACUUUGGGUGGCCAUCUGUCGACACACCCGGGGGAGGCUGGUAGGCUAUCACAAUUCAUACCCCCCUUAUAUAUGCUUAAAAUAAAUAAUCCCAAUGUCCCCCACUAGACAUCAUUUUGCCCGAGAAUCAUUUUGUGGAUUAGAUAAUUCAUACGACCUCCAAAUUGGGUGUCGUUUGUUCCUACUUCUUUCUGUUUACUUCCUUCACACCUCCAUGUAGUUUCACCCCAUUCCCAUACACACGGAACGAGUUAUGGCAUUCGGACCAAUCAGAAAAUUAUGACAAUACCACUAGACUUUGGCCAAGUCAAGCCCUUAUCCAAACGGACUCCAAACGACCCCGAAUUUGGUAAGCAGACAUAAGGUACCAUCAAUAUCAAUACUCUAAACCGGAAUCCUCAGAUUCCACUUGUAUCUCAAAAUGGCACGGCACUGACAUCGAACACCGCCCACAAUCCUUACCAUGCCUCCGCCCCCUUGGGCUCACACCAAGCCCUCUCCAAAUCACAUUGGCACUCUUAGGACAUGUCAUGCAACAUAUAUAGAUGCUUGUUGCCUCAUGUUAUGCCCAUUUUCCUCAUCCUCAGCUUCAGCAUAUUCCCUCAGCACAUGCCGCCGGCAUAGCUGAGAAGGUUGCGGCCUAGUUGGCACGCACAAUCUAGGUGAGUGACAAGCCCCAAUACUUUGGGGCGUCACACUACGCUCUGUAUACAUUAGCAUAGGAUAACAUUAUAGGAUUUUAGUCCUAUUACGUUGGCCUUUGGGAUCGGAGUAAUGAUUAACAGGAACAGUCGGGGGCAUUCGUAUUUCAUAGUCAGAGGUGAAAUUCUUGGAUUUAUGAAAGAUGAACAACUAUGAAAGCAUUUUACAAGGAUGUUUUCAUUAAUCAAGAACGAAAAUUGGGGGCUCCAAGACGAUCAGAUAUCGUCCUAGUCUCAACCAUAAACGAUGUCGACCAGGGAUCGGCGGAUAUUACUUUUAGGACUCCACCGGCACGUUAUAAGAAAUCAAAGUUUCUGGGUUCCGGGGGGAGUAUGGUCGCAAGGCUGAAACUUAAAGGAAUUGAUGGAAGGGCACCACCAGGAGUGGAUCUUGUGGCUUAAUUUGACUCAACACGGGAAAACUUACCAGGUCUAAACAUAGUAAGGAUUGACAGACUGAGAGCUCUUUCUUAAUUCUAUGGGUGGUGGUGCAAGGCCGUUCUUAGUUGGUGGAGCAAUUUGUCUGGUUAAUUUCGUUAACGAACGAGACCUCAGCCUUCUAACUAGCUAUGCGGAGGUAUCCCUUAGUGACUAGCUUUUUAGAGGGACUACGGCCUUUUAGGCCGCGGAAGUUUGAGGCAAUAACAGGUCUGUGAUGCCCUUAGAUGUUCUGGGCCGCACACGCGCUGCACUGAUGUAUUCAAUGAGUUUAUAGCCUUGGACGACAGGCCCGGGGAAUCUUUGAAAUUUCAUCGUAAUGGGGAUAGAUCAUUGCAAUUGUUGGUCUUCAACGAGCAAUUCCUAGUAAGCGCGAGUGAUCAGCUCACGUUGACUACGUCCCUGCCCUUUGUACACACCAUCCAUCGCUCCUACCGAUUGAAUGAUCCGGUGAAAUGUUCGGAUCACAGCGACGUGGGCGGUUAGCUGCCCGCGACGUCGCGAGAAGUUCAUUGAACCUUAUCAUUUAGAGGAAGGAGAAGUCGUAACAAGGUUUCCGUAGGUGAACCUUCGGAAG